UGGUGACAUUUGUAAAGAUAUAAGCUGGAUUCCCAAGCUGUUUGCUUAGGGAAGGAUCUGCAUUACUACUCACAAGCACAAAAACCACAAGAACUCUACUAAACAGCAAUAUGUCUUUGGGAACCCUUUUUAACUUCCAUCAUGCCUAUGUCUGUGCUGCUGCCAGAGCUAUUGUGGACUCAAGGAACAGGUGUGGUAAAACAUUGGCACAGGUCACACAGAGAGACUGUGUAUUAUGCCUCUUCGGAAAUCUUCAAAAGCCACUUGACAUGGUCCUGGGCAAUUGACUCUUCCUGGCCCUGCUUGAGAAGAGGGAUUUGGACCAGAUGACCUCCAGAGAUGUGUUCCAGCCUCGGCCAUCCUGUGAGUCUGUGAUACUGUUAUCAGCAUCACAACAGAUAAACUACUAAAUGUGUGUAAACACUUUGCAGCCUCCAAAAUAAGAACCUCCAAAAGCCCUCGCCUCCUCCACAUUCACACAGUUACGUGCAGUUCCCUUCUGCACUUUGAAAUGUGAAUUUCAUGCAUUUCUCUUUCUUGGCAAUGUGAUUCUCCUACCAUAGUGCUCCUCUGUGCCACAGGAGAUAGAGACACUUAAUGUUCAGAAGGGCUUAGGCUGCUCUGUGAAGUCCACAUAUCCUGCUCUAGUGGGAAAGGUGUCAUGUGGUCCCUGUGCAUUCCCAGCAAGGGUUGCAUGCCCUUGAGCCCCAGCCAGCUGGAGUGCAGCUGCUGGCAGUGGGGAGGGAGAUGUUCCAGGCUGUGGAGAUGCCUUUGUCUGUGACGGACUGUGUGACACCAGCAGUGCUGUUUCUUACAGUGCCAAAUUUGCCUGACUGCUGCUCCAACCUCACUGCUCCCCUCCAGGGGUGCUCCCCAUCACCACAGUUCCAUGCUCCUUUUCUGUUUUUCUAUAUGACUGCUUAUUAAUCUCCUGCUUAUGGUUUUGUCUGUCUGAAGGUCAAACUUCUCUUCAACACUAUCAGCUGGGGCUCAAGACAUGUCAGGCAAUUUUGAGUGUGUCACGCACACAGUUUACACCCAAGUUUGCAGGUUACCCCUUUUGCUAGGGUGGUGUGUGUCACCCUGAAAAUUAA